GUGCUUACUUCGGCAGCACAUACACUAAAAUUGGAAUGAUACAGAGAAGAUCAGCAUGGCCCCUGCACAAGGAUGACUGGCAAAUUAAUGAAAUAUUCCUUAUUUUG